AGAGACUUUUAUAGCAACAAGGGUGAAAUCUGUACUUAAGUUAAAUUUCUUGUUUAAAGCAUCUUUUAGGUAGUUAAACGACUAGGAUUAGAUACCCUAUUAGUCUAUCCUUAAUUAACCUGGGUAGUAAUAUUAAAACCUAAAGAAUUUGGCGGUUUCUAAACUUACUAGAGGAACCUGUCCCGUAAACGACAAUCCACGAAAAAAUCAACCCAAACUUGUUAUUCAGCUUAUAUACCGUCGUUUAGGGGAUUAAACAAAUAGAUCUCCUUAAGAGCUUAGGCUAAUAAAUCAGAUCAAGGUGUAGCUUAUGUUUGGGUGAGGAUGGGUUACAAUGAAAAUUCAUACGGAACCUUUAUAUUACUGCAAAGGAGAAGGUGGAUUUAGAAGUAAGACCUAACACACUGAAGAAAGCCCUGAGAAAUGUACACAUCGCCCGUCGCUCUCUUGUCCGAAGAGAUAAGUCGUAACAAAGUAGGUGUAUCGGAAGGUUCAUCUUGAAA
rnacentral:rRNA from 1 species